AGAGUUUGAUCCUGGCUCAGAAUCAACGCUGGCGGCGUGCCUAACACAUGCAAGUCGAACGAGAAAGUGGAGCAAUCCAUGAGUAAAGUGGCGCACGGGUGAGUAACACGUGACUAACCUACCCUGGAGUGGGGGAUAACUGAGGGAAACCUUAGCUAAUACCGCAUAAUACCUACGGGUCAAAGGAGCAAUUCGCUUUGGGAGGGGGUCGCGGCCGAUUAGUUAGUUGGCGGGGUAAUGGCCCACCAAGACUGUGAUCGGUAUCCGGCCUGAGAGGGCGCACGGACACACUGGAACUGAAACACGGUCCAGACUCCUACGGGAGGCAGCAGUGGGGAAUUUUGCGCAAUGGGGGAAACCCUGACGCAGCAACGCCGCGUGGAGGAUGAAGUACUUCGGUACGUAAACUCCUUUCGAUCGGGACGAUAAUGACGGUACCGGAAGAAGAAGCCC
rnacentral:rRNA from 1 species